rnacentral:lncRNA from 1 species
CCCGAGCAAAGUGAAGGACGUGGCCCUGUGAGGUGAUGGGGAGCCCUGGAAGACUUCAGAGCAGGGGAGGGACAAGGAGCAAGGUGGCCGUGGGAAGAUGGCUCCAGCAGCAUGCAGAAGAUGGACAGGAGUGGAUAGGGACAAAGGUGGAAAAGGAGAGAAUAAGCAUCUGCCAUUUGUUCACUGCAGAGGGUUUGCUGUGAUCAGAUCAACCCAGGGACAGGAGGUCUAAGGUCUCAAAUGGAUUUACCAGCAAAGCCAAGACUCUAGCCCAAGUGCCUGGAUCCCAUUUCAGAGUCUGUCCCAUCAGAGCACACAGCCAGGAAG